rnacentral:rRNA from 1 species
GACGAACGCUGGCGGCGUGCUUAACACAUGCAAGUCGAGCGGUAAGGCCCUUUCGGGGGUACACGAGCGGCGAACGGGUGAGUAACACGUGGGUGACCUGCCCUUAGCUCUGGGAUAAGCCUGGGAAACUGGGUCUAAUACCGGAUAUGACUCCAUAACGCAUGUUGUGGGGUGGAAAGCCUUGUGCGGCUAGGGAUGGGCCCGCGGCCUAUCAGCUUGUUGGUGGGGUGAUGGCCUACCAAGGCGACGACGGGUAGCCGGCCUGAGAGGGCGACCGGCCACACUGGGACUGAGACACGGCCCAGACUCCUACGGGAGGCAGCAGAGGGGAAUCUUGCGCAAUGGGCGAAAGCCUGACGCAGCGACGCCGCGUGGGGAUGACGGCCU